CGGCGUAGAUGUAGCUGGGCCAAGUUUAGGUUUCAGAAUCAUUGAUCCUCCUCGGAGACCCCAUUCCGGCAUAUGGUUUAUGCUUCAAGCAUCACAAAAUCAAGCAAAAGAACCCAUUUUGCCUCAGAUACCCAAGAGCUACCUGAGAAUUAAGGAUGGAAGGAUGACAGUUCGAUUGUUAAUGAAGUAUCUGGUUAACAAGCUGAGAU